UGAUGGAAGAGCUCAGCUGGGCUAGAAGUGUGGCUAGGAAAAGUAUGGGUAGGCCAGCAACUGACGUCUUGUAGGAUUAUAAACCAGGACUUUUUUUUAAUUUCUUUUUAUUCUGUUACAAGUGGGAAAAAAAAAGAAGUAUGAAAAAGUAUGAUAGCAGAAGGAAGUCAAGUCUCCAAAAAGCUUAAGUUGAAUUUUCAUCCUCUUCUGACUUCAUGAAGAAGGCUCCUGUGGAGAAAUCCUUGGUCAUGGGACACUGAAAGAAGAAAUAUUUUGGAAGAGCUGUUCAGAUGUCACACUGAGAAACAAUGCUUAGCAUGGUAGAGUUUUAGACUCUGUGUGGUUUGGCCUCUGAUGAGCAAUCCUCACUGUAAAAAGGGAAGUGCUAAAUGAGUUGUGCUCAGGGUGCUGGUUUGCAGAAGAGCUGGGCCAAAGCUGGCAGCAGCACUCAAGGAUGUCAGCCCCCUGUUGUCCUGACCUUAACCUGAGGACCCAUACCACUGAGGCAGCUGCAGAACACUGCAGUGCAAGCUCUUUGCCUCUACAUUUUGCUUCACGCUUCAAAGAACCAAGACUUUUCUCAACAGACCAACAGGAUUAUUCCUUGGAAUAUCAUGGAAAAAGGCAUGUCGCGUGAGGAAUUUAGUGGUGCCUGUACCUACCUCAGCUCUGAGGGAGGCACUUCUGCUAAAUGGUCACCACUUAACUCAUCUGCUACAAACACAUGGAGAAAUGUGGAUCAAACUGGGAGUUCUCACUGUGUACCUGGGAAGGCAACCAUGCAGGAGUAAUUCUCACCACAACACACAGGUAAUGCAGGAAAAGGCAGCAUGCUGUACCUGUGCAGUAGCUUUCAGUGGGUAUUUUCCCAGCUGUCAGCAAAGCUGCAGAGCCAAACAAGAUUAAGUGUGGAAAGUGAGAGAAGGUUACAUGGUCCCAGCUGUCCUGUGAUUGUGUUCAUGAGGUAAGUGGUGACUAUUUAUUGUAUAGGCCUGUGUGCCUUCCUUUUUAUAAUGACAUAGAAAAAAGAACUUCUUGCAUUACAGAGUCAUCAUGCAUUUUUUUUAUCUGCAACGAGGACCUCAGUGGGGCUUUCAAAGGCUAUGUACAAACUUACAUGCAGGAGCUCAGGUAUGAAAAGGCACAUGCAGGAGAGAGAAACCAGGUAAUGGCCAUUUCUCCUAUUUUUCUAUAUAAACAAUUAAUAUUCUUGCAUUUCUAAUAUUAUCUCAGUAAUUAAUAACCUAUAUAAUUUUGGCUUUUAACAUAUAAUCCUCAAAUUUC
rnacentral:lncRNA from 1 species